rnacentral:rRNA from 1 species
CCUACGGGUGGCAGCAGUGGGGAAUAUUGCACAAUGGGGGAAACCCUGAUGCAGCGACGCCGCGUGAGUGAAGAAGUAUCUCGGUACGUAAAGCUCUAUUAGCAGGGAAGAAAAUGACGGUACCUGACUAAGAAGCCCCGGCUAACUACGUGCCAGAAGCCGCGGUAAUACGUAGGGGGCAAGCGUUAUCCGGAUUUACUGGGGGUAAAGGGGGCGUAUACGGCAGCGCAAGUCUGAAGUGAAAUCCCAUGGCUUAACCAUGGAACUGCUGUGGAAACUGUGCAGCUGGAGUGCAGGAGAGGUAGGCGGAAUUCGUGGUGUAGCGGUGAAAUGCGUAGAUAUUAGGAGGAACACCGGUGGCGAAGGCAGCUUACUGGACUGUAACUGACGUUGAGGCUCGAAAGCGUGGGGAGCAAACAGGAUUAGAUACCCUGGUAGUC